UACAGAGGUGGCAAGCGUUGUUCGGAAUUACUGGGCGUAAAGGGCGCGUAGGCGGCCAUCUAAGUCAGACGUGAAAUCCCCCGGCUUAACCUGGGAACUGCGUCUGAUACUGGAAGGCUUGAGUAUGGGAGAGGGAUGUAGAAUUCCAGGUGUAGCGGUGAAAUGCGUAGAUAUCUGGAGGAAUACCGGUGGCGAAGGCGGCAUCCUGGACCAUUACUGACGCUGAGGAGCGAAAGCAUGGGGAGCGAACAGG
rnacentral:rRNA from 1 species